rnacentral:rRNA from 1 species
AUUGAACGCUGGCGGCAUGCCUUACACAUGCAAGUCGAACGGUAACAGGUCUUCGGAUGCUGACGAGUGGCGAACGGGUGAGUAAUACAUCGGAACGUGCCCGAUCGUGGGGGAUAACGGAGCGAAAGCUUUGCUAAUACCGCAUACGAUCUACGGAUGAAAGCAGGGGACCGCAAGGCCUUGCGCGGACGGAGCGGCCGAUGGCAGUUUAGGUUGUUGGUGGGAUAAAAGCUUACCAAGCCGACGAUCUGUAGCUGGUCUGAGAGGACGACCAGCCACACUGGGACUGAGACACGGCCCAGACUCCUACGGGAGGCAGCAGUGGGGAAUUUUGGACAAUGGGCGAAAGCCUGAUCCAGCCAUGCCGCGUGCAGGAUGAAGGCCUUCAGGUUGUAAACUGCUUUUGUACGGAACGAAAAAGUUCUUUCUAAUAAAGAGAGCUCAUGACGGUACCGUAAGAAUAAGCACCGGCUAACUACGUGCCAGCAGCAGCCGCCGUAA